rnacentral:rRNA from 1 species
GAGAUAGCUGGUUUUCUGCGAAAUUUAUUUAAGUAAAGCAUUGAGAGAUUAAAAUUUGGGGUAGAGCACUUGAUAGGCUAGGGGGAUUUUAGAAUUUUACCAAAUUUAACUAAACUUCGAAUACAAAUUUUUAAAAUUUCAAUAGACAGAUUAUGAGUGCAAAGAUUCAUAUUCAAAAGGGAAAAGCCCAGAUUAUAAGUUAAGGUCCGUAAAUAUAGCGAAAAGGUAAAUAAGGUGGCUAAAAUGGAGACGGUUAAAAGGUAGGCUUAGAAGCAGCCAUCCUUUAAAGAAAGCGUAAUUGCUCAUUAACUUAGUUUUUUGCUGCCGUCGAUGUAAUGGACUUAGCUAUAUACCGAAACUAUAAAUAAUUAAA